CCGCCUGCCUGACUGUAACAGCUGAGGUGCACUAAUAGGACAGGCAGCCGCACAGAAAGCCGGGAUGCUUAUCGCCCUCCGAGGAGCUGUUUGACAGCAGAAGAGUCGGCGUUAGCUGUGCAGCGUCCCUAUGAGGUUGGGAGCUGGGAGAAGAGAGGAGUGAGAAAUGGAAAGAAAAAUGCAUUCAUCAACCAAUAACUCACUGUAUCUAUUUUUCUUUUUUCUGGCUGCUGUCUCUCUGCUUUGUUCGAGUUGAAUGAUGAGCCGUAGUCCUCUGUCCUCUGGGUGACAUUCAAAGAAAACAUAAAUCUUGAUUUUUAUGGUAUGGUGCAGCAAUAAAGCCUCCCUUCUAAUUGGA